CGUGUCACAUUCGGCGGCUGCGCAACGGAGGGGCUUUACCGGCGGCGAGAGCGCUAGGUUGCCGCGCCGCCUACUCUCCGGCGGAGCCUUGGCUCCCGCGUCGUCCUCCCCCUCUGAUAAAAUUAUGUUGUGGAGUCUGACAUCACAUGACAGAAGUGAACUGGUAAAACAAAGCAUAUAUUCACCUGAAUGUGGGAGGCUUUGUAGGCCAGAACUCUGUGGUCCUGUCCUCCACUGGGCGUGUGGUGAGGAAGAGCAAAUCGACCCAGUCCAGCUUCUGCUCCUUGGAGAAGACGAAGUGGUGACCGAACCCCUGCAAGCCAUUGGGUGGGAUCGCCACGGACAUCUUCUCCUGCAGAGGAAGUCUGAAGAACUCUGUGAUGUCAUCCUUGAUCCGUUGCAGCAACUCCCCAUCCACCCCAUGGUUCACAAGCUGCAAGUAUUGCACAUUUCUGAAGAUUACUAGCUGUUGCUGCAGUCUACUUGAUGUGAAAAGUCUACAAUGUUGCAGAGUAAAACAAUCAGCGUCUCUUUACUUUUAAAACCGAGGCAUAAGAACUCAAACCUGGAAGAAUCCCCAAUCCUCACAGGCUGAUCCGAGCUUGGCAAUCUCCUCCUCGGAGAACUCAGGAUUGAUCAACCUUGACAUAUCUAUUACCGGCAGAUUGUAACCAUCGGUGUCGAUGAUGACAGGAUCGGCCUCCAUCUCAGGCCUGGCAUACCUUUCAGGAAUCUCACCGGAGCUUCUGAUGGUGUCUGCAACGACCUGCACACUCUCAUCUUGGUCGAUGAACUCCACUUUCAGUUUGUCGAAGCCACCGACCAUCCUUCCUGAUGUGCUUGAUGGUUGAAUUCAAGAGGGAUAUGAAUGUUCU